rnacentral:rRNA from 1 species
AGGCAGCAGUGGGGAAUAUUGGGCAAUGGCCGAGAGGCUGACCCAGCCAUGCCGCGUGCAGGAUGAAGGCUUUCUGAGUCGUAAACUGCUUUUACCAGGGAAGAAAAAAGGGGAUGCGUCCCCUACUGACGGUACCUGGUGAAUAAGCACCGGCUAACUCCGUGCCAGCAGCCGCGGUAAUACGGAGGGUGCAAGCGUUGUCCGGAUUUAUUGGGUUUAAAGGGUGCGUAGGCGGCCGAUUAAGUCUGGGGUGAAAGCCCGUUGCUCAACAACGGAACUGCCCCGGAAACUGGUUGGCUUGAGUACAGACGAGGGUGGCGGAAUGGACGGUGUAGCGGUGAAAUGCAUAGAUACCGUCCAGAACCCCGAUUGCGAAGGCAGCUGCCUAGACUGUAACUGACGCUGAGGCACGAAAGCGUGGGGAGCGAACAGGAUUAGAUACCCUGGUAGUCCACGCCGUAAACGAUGGAUACUCGCUGCUGGCGAUACAAUGUCAGUGGCUUAGCGAAAGCGUUAAGUAUCCCACCUGGGGAGUACGCUCGCAAGAGUGAAACUCAAAAGAAUUGACGGGGGCCCGCACAAGUGGUGGAGCAUGUGGUUUAAUUCGAUGACACGCGAGGAACCUUACCUAGGCUAGAAUGCGCGUGACCGGCCCAGAGAUGGGCCUUUCCUUCGGGACACAAAGCAAGGUGCUGCAUGGCCGUCGUCAGCUCGUGCCGUGAGGUGUUGGGUUAAGUCCCGCAACGAGCGCAACCC